GGAAGCGUGGCCGAGUGGCUUAUGGCACCGCCCUGCUAAGGCGGAUCGGGCAACCGACGGAGGUUCGAAUCCUCUCGCUUCCGC
rnacentral:tRNA from 1 species